rnacentral:rRNA from 1 species
AACGCAGCGAAGGGCGAUAAGUAAUGUGAAUUGCAGAAUUCAGUGAAUCAUCGAAUCUUUGAACGCACCUUGCGCCCGUUGGUAUUCCGACGGGCAUGCCUGUUUGAGUGUCGUGAACAACCUCAACCUUGAUUGGUUUUACCAUCAAGGCUUGGACUUGGGUGUUGCUGCUGCAAAGUGGCUCGCCUUAAAAUCAUUAGCUGGACUUGUCUAUGACUUGGUUCGACUCGAUGUAAUAAGUAUUCAUCGGGGACAGGGUAAAACCUGGCCAAGGCUUGAUGCCGUCUGCUUCUAAUCAUGUUCUCACUAUGAGACGCUACUUUACUGUGUGGCCUCAAAUCAGGUAGGAUUACCCGCUGAACUUAA